UACGGGGGGGGCAAGCGUUGUUCGGAAUUACUGGGCGUAAAGGGCUCGUAGGUUGCCAACUAAGUCAGACGUGAAAUCCCUCGGCUUAACCGGGGAACUGCGUCUGAUACUGGAUGGCUUGAGUUUGGGAGAGGGACGCGGAAUUCCAGGUGUAGCGGUGAAAUGCGUAGAUAUCUGGAGGAACACCGGUGGCGAAGGCGGCGUCCUGGACCAACACUGACACUGAGGAGCGAAAGCCAGGGGAGCAAACGGG
rnacentral:rRNA from 1 species